rnacentral:rRNA from 1 species
UACGGAGGGUGCAAGCGUUAUCCGGAUUCACUGGGUUUAAAGGGUGCGUAGGUGGGUUUGUAAGUCAGUGGUGAAAUCUCCAAGCUUAACUUGGAACUGCCGUUGAUACUAUAAAUCUUGAAUGUUGUGGAGGUGAGCGGAAUAUGUCAUGUAGCGGUGAAAUGCUUAGAUAUGACAUAGAACACAAAUUGCGAAGGCAGCUCACUACACAAAGAUUGACACUGAGGCACGAAGGCGUGGGGAUCAAACAGG